UACGUACGAGGCGAGCGUUAUCCGGAAUUAUUGGGCGUAAAGCGCGCGCAGGUGGCGGUGCAAGUCGGACGUGAAAUCUCCCGGCCUAACUGGGAGGGGUCGUCCGAGACUGUGCGGCUUGAGGACUGCAGAGGUGGGUGGAAUUCCUGGUGUAGUGGUGAAAUGCGUAGAGAUCAGGAGGAACACCGGUGGCGAAGGCGGCCCACUGGGCAGUCACUGACGCUGAGGCGCGAAAGCUCGGGGAGCGAACGGG
rnacentral:rRNA from 1 species